GAGGGCUACAUGAAAUUCACAAACCUUCUUUUAGCUAUAAUUAAUCAAAUAUCACACGUUUGAUGUUCCUAGCACUUGUAAGUUUCUUUCUCUACCUGCAAACCAUUGAACUGUUCUUCGUGCUAUUGGUAACCAAAGCCUCCUUAUCUUGUCUUCCUGUUCACUACUACUCCUUGGGGAUACAGAUUCUUUGAUUUUGCUCUUCAGAUUUAAUUCUUUGAACCUUGAACAGAUUGUAAUCUCAGACAUUGAUC
rnacentral:misc_RNA from 1 species